AACGAACGCUGGCGGCAUGCCUAACACAUGCAAGUCGAACGAGACCUUCGGGUCUAGUGGCGCACGGGUGCGUAACGCGUGGGAACCUGCCCUUAGGUUCGGAAUGACUCCCCGAAAGGGGUGCUAAUACCGGAUAAUGUCUUCGGACCAAAGAUUUAUCGCCUUUGGAUGGGCCCGCGUUGGAUUAGCUAGUUGGUAGGGUAAAAGCCUACCAAGGCGACGAUCCAUAGCUGGUCUGAGAGGAUGAUCAGCCACACUGGGACUGAGACACGGCCCAGACUCCUACGGGAGGCAGCAGCGGGGAAUAUUGGACAAUGGGCGAAAGCCUGAUCCAGCAAUGCCGCGUGAGUGAUGAAGGCCUUAGGGUUGUAAAGCUCUUUUACCCGGGAUGAUAAUGACAGUACCGGGAGAAUAAGCUCCGGCUAACUCCGUG
rnacentral:rRNA from 1 species